GGGUUACAAGAAGAAACUGGAAGAUUGUUAUUCAAAAAGUGCAUGCUGUAAACAUGUUUAUAAUGUCAACGUUCUCUCCAUGAUGUCUGGGCAAAAAUGAUGUGUAGAGGUUAUACACUUUCUCUGUGUGGAUACACCAUUUAUUAUCUUGACAUUGGGCAGUGGAAAGCAGUAGGAAGGGAGCACCCAAAAUCAACCCAUGCAAAUGCAUCUAAGGCCUCUAAUAAAAGAGACAGAGUGGGUGGUAGUUUGCUAUGUCUGCUAUCAAUUUUUACAUCCUGGACCUCUUCGCUGCAAUCGAAAGCUGUGGUAGCAACAACUAAUUGACAGAGCACUGAGAGAUAUGGGACUCGUUUGUGGCUGAGGUUUGGAAAACAAAAGUUUUCAAAUGAAAGCUGGAAAAUGUGCCUCUUGACUGUGAUGACUAAUGUUCCAGUGACCUUUUUUGCUGCUUUACUGUAUCUCUGUCACUGCGAUUUAGGUCACUGGAUGUGACUUUGAAUGCUUUGUAUGAGAAGCAUUUCUUCUGUUUGCUUUGUCAAGAGUCAAGAGGACAUAUUCUUCGACAGCAUAUAGACAGGGAGGGUCCCGCUGUAUCUUUCUAUUAGUGAUUAUGUGGUAAUCCAAUGUUAACUCAUGACCUCUCACUUUCAUAUGUAGGGUCUCAUAAAUGACUCAAACCCAAAAGCCCUUAAUCACUGUUAUCGUGUCCUUUGAUUCAUAUUGAGUUUGUUUUUGUUUUACAGUCACAUCAAAUACAAUAAAGACAGUAAACAUUUUUAACUAAGACGUACUCUUAUUUUUUUCAUAACAAUGGUUAAAGUCAAAUUUAAACACAGACAUUUAGCAGGUCUCACAGAAAUCUUUUCAAAUGCAUAAGCAGCUUCCUCUUCCACUAAAACAUCAAAAAAAUUACAAAAAGUGAAAAAACCCAGUAUUUCUUUCAAAUCUCAAACACAUGAAACUUACCGCAACAACCACUGCGACUUGUGUUUUCACGUGUCACAAUGUAUAGUACAUGUAGUCAAGGAUGUCUGGAGCUUAUCAAGUCAUUUCACACUUAACUUUAGACUAAUGAGAUGAAAUACUAAAGUAUGUUAUUGGUCAAGUAAAUCAAAACUACACCUUUGUUCUUUCCAAAUAUGAAUUACAUUCUUUUAACAAACAAAGUCAAUUCUCUACAUAGAUUCCAGUGACUCACUACCAGUUUGUGACUGGUACACCCUGUGGAACAUUAUCACUGAGAAAAUAAACAUUCAUAGAUUAUUAGCUGACCUGCCAUGGGGUUUUUUGUUACAUCCAUUAUGUGUCUAAAUCAUAUGCUGCACAUGGUUUUUGUUGCGAGAAAUAAAUAAAUAAACUUAAAUACAGAAUUCAUACAAUGUUAACAAAACAAGAAAUGAAUCAGAAAUUAGAAAGUAUAAUCUGUGCAAACAUCAAAAGCAAUCUCCUGCUGAAAAAUGUGACACUUCAGCACAAUAAAUUCUUGAAAUCAACUACUAGAUAUUUUAAACAUGCAAAGCUCUAACAAAGAAAUAUCGUUUCAACAAGUGAGAUCUGUCAAUUCUGAACAACCCGCUUCAAAGUUUCUGUUUAAAACAGCUAUUUGAGAACAAUGAAAACAAUCCAGCUUUGGUUCUAAUUCAUUAAAUACACAAUACAUUACAUACAUUGCGCUGUUUUCAAGUGUGAUUUUGUAGUGAUGAUACAACCUGAGACCAAUACCCGGUCUGCUAUAUCUACUUUACAAAACUGAACAUCAUUGAAUCAUUAUAAACCCUGUUUAAGGCGAGCUCUAGACCGGAAUGUAAAAAGAGACGAGGUUUUCAUCCAACCUCUUAUUGAAUUCCCCUUUUUUAUGCAUCUUUUACAAAAAUUGUUAGGUAAAUUGCUGAUCUGGAGAUCAACUGGCCAAAAUCAAAGUGUGAUCCAUCCAAAGUGAACAAAUACACCCAACAAGAUUCAGACUAGGUUUGCUUCAGUGUGGGUUCCAAAGCUGGAAAGGUGUCGUGCACUAUGCUAAAAAUAAUGAACUUACAUCUAAAGCCGUGGCAUGAAGAUGAUAUCCAGGUGAGUUUUACUGUCAUUUUUAUCAACACAACUGAGUAAUGGGUCACUAAUGUCGAAUAUCAGCCUCUCUCCAGCACCGCACUCCACUACCUUGCUGAGAAUACCUGUGGUGUUUGUUUCUUUGUUAAUCGAGCCCUUUAGAAG
ensembl:lncRNA